AACGAACGCUGGCGGCAGGCUUAACACAUGCAAGUCGAACGCCCCGCAAGGGGAGUGGCAGACGGGUGAGUAACGCGUGGGAACCUACCUUUCGGUACGGAAUAACUCGGGGAAACUCGUGCUAAUACCGUAUAUUCCGGUAACGGGAAAGAUUUAUCGCCGAAAGACGGGCCCGCGUUAGAUUAGCUAGUUGGUGGGGUAAUGGCCUACCAAGGCAACGAUCUAUAGCUGGUCUGAGAGGAUGAUCAGCCACACUGGGACUGAGACACGGCCCAGACUCCUACGGGAGGCAGCAGUGGGGAAUCUUGGACAAUGGGGGAAACCCUGAUCCAGCCAUGCCGCGUGAGUGAUGACGGCCUUAGGGUUGUAAAGCUCUUUCGACGGGGACGAUAAUGACGGUACCCGUAGAAGAAGCCCCGGCUAACUCCGUGCCAGCAGCCGCGGUAAUACGGAGGGGGCUAGCGUUGUUCGGAAUUACUGGGCGUAAAGCGCGCGUAGGCGGC
rnacentral:rRNA from 1 species